rnacentral:rRNA from 1 species
UACGGAGGGAGCUAGCGUUGUUCGGAAUUACUGGGCGUAAAGCGCGCGUAGGCGGUUUUUUAAGUCAGAGGUGAAAGCCCAGUGCUCAACACUGGAACUGCCUUUGAAACUGGAAACCUUGAAUCUUGGAGAGGUCAGUGGAAUUCCGAGUGUAGAGGUGAAAUUCGUAGAUAUUCGGAAGAACACCAGUGGCGAAGGCGACUGACUGGACAAGUAUUGACGCUGAGGUGCGAAAGCGUGGGGAGCAAACAGG